GUGCUUGCUUCGACAGCACACACAGUAAACGUGGAACGAGGCAGAGAACACUGGCGUCUCCCCUGAACAAGGCUGACGUGCAAAUGUAUGAACUAUUUCAUUUUUAU
ensembl:snRNA U6 U6 spliceosomal RNA